rnacentral:rRNA from 1 species
UACGUAGGGGGCAAGCGUUGUCCGGAAUCAUUGGGCGUAAAGAGCGUGUAGGCGGUUCGGUAAGUCGGCUGUGAAAGUCCAGGGCUCAACCCUGGGAUGCCGGUCGAUACUGCCGGACUAGAGUUCGGAAGAGGCGAGUGGAAUUCCCGGUGUAGCGGUGAAAUGCGCAGAUAUCGGGAGGAACACCUAUGGCGAAGGCAGCUCGCUGGGACGUUACUGACGCUGAUGCGCGAAAGCCAGGGGAGCGAACGGG